GCUGGGUGUGGUGGCGCACACCUGUAAUCCCAGCUACUCGGGAGGCUGAGGCAGGAGAAUUGCUUGAACCUGGGAGGCGGAGCUUGCAGUGAGCCGAGAUCGUGCCACUGCACUCCAGCCUGGGUAACAAAGCGAGGCUCCGUCUCAA
rnacentral:SRP_RNA from 1 species